rnacentral:rRNA from 1 species
CCUACGGGGGGCAGCAGUGGGGAAUAUUGCACAAUGGGGGGAACCCUGAUGCAGCGACGCCGCGUGGGUGAAGGAGUAUUUCGGUAUGUAAAGCCCUAUCAGCAGGGAAGAACAAUGACGGUACCUGACUACGAAGCACCGGCUAAAUACGUGCCAGCAGCCGCGGUAAUACGUAUGGUGCAAGCGUUAUCCGGAUUUACUGGGUGUACAGGGAGCGCAGGCGGCGCGUUAAGCCUGGUGUGAAAGCCCGCGGCCCAACCGAGGGACUGCAUUGGGAACUGGCGCGCGGGAGUGCCGGAGGGGUAGGCGGAAUUCCUAGUGUAGCGGUGAAAUGCGUAGAUAUUAGGAGGAACACCAGUGGCGAAGGCGGCCCACUGGACGGUGACUGACGCUGAGGCUCGAAAGCGUGGGGAGCAAACAGGAUUAGAUACCCGUGUAGUC